GGCAGGGGGGGCGUGCUACCAUGCAGUCGAACGAAGAGCGAUGGAAGCUUGCUUCUAUCAAUCUUAGUGGCGAACGGGUGAGUAACGCGUAAUCAACCUGCCCUUCAGAGGGGGACAACAGUUGGAAACGACUGCUAAUACCGCAUACGAUCCAAUCUCGGCAUCGAGGAUGGAUGAAAGGUGGCCUCUAUUUAUAAGCUAUCACUGAAGGAGGGGAUUGCGUCUGAUUAGCUAGUUGGAGGGGUAACGGCCCACCAAGGCGAUGAUCAGUAGCCGGUCUGAGAGGAUGAACGGCCACAUUGGGACUGAGACACGGCCCAGACUCCUACGGGAGGCAGCAGUGGGGAAUCUUCCGCAAUGGACGAAAGUCUGACGGAGCAACGCCGCGUGAGUGAUGACGGCCUUCGGGUUGUAAAGCUCUGUUAAUCGGGACGAAAGGCCUUCUUGCGAAUAGUUAGAAGGAUUGACGGUACCGGAAUAGAAAGCCACGGCUAACUACGUGCCAGCAGCCGCGGUAAUACGUAGGUGGCAAGCGUUGUCCGGAAUUAUUGGGCGUAAAGCGCGCGCAGGCGGAUUGGUCAGUCUGUCUUAAAAGUUCGGGGCUUAACCCCGUGAUGGGAUGGAAACUGCCAAUCUAGAGUAUCGGAGAGGAAAGUGGAAUUCCUAGUGUAGCGGUGAAAUGCGUAGAUAUUAGGAAGAACACCAGUGGCGAAGGCGACUUUCUGGACGAAAACUGACGCUGAGGCGCGAAAGCCAGGGGAGCGAACGGGAUUAGAUACCCCGGUAGUCCUGGCCGUAAACGAUGGGUACUAGGUGUAGGAGGUAUCGACCCCUUCUGUGCCGGAGUUAACGCAAUAAGUACCCCGCCUGGGGAGUACGACCGCAAGGUUGAAACUCAAAGGAAUUGACGGGGGCCCGCACAAGCGGUGGAGUAUGUGGUUUAAUUCGACGCAACGCGAAGAACCUUACCAGGUCUUGACAUUGAUGGACAGAACUAGAGAUAGUUUCUCUUCUUCGGAAGCCAGAAAACAGGUGGUGCACGUUGUCGUCAGCUCGUGUCGUGAGAUGUGGGUAGUCCCGCAACGAGCGCACCCUAUCUUAUGUGCAGCACUUCGGUGGGACUCAUGAAGACUGCCGCAGACAUGCGAGAUGCGGGAAUGACGUCAAUCAUCAUGCCCCUUUAUGACUGAGCUACCCCACGUAUCUAC
rnacentral:rRNA from 1 species